rnacentral:rRNA from 1 species
UGAAACACGGACCAAGGAGUUUAGCGUGUGCGCGAGUCAUUGGGUGUUGAAAACCCAAGGGCGCAAUGAAAGUGAAGGUCUCCCUUGCGGAGCUGAUGUGUGAUCCUGGUCACCGCGGUGCAUCCAGGCGCAACAUAGUCCCGUCCUGACCGCUUGCGGUGGGGCGGAGACAGAGCGCACGCGCUGAGACCCGAAAGAUGGUGAACUAUUCCUGAGCAGGAUGAAGCCAGAGGAAACUCUGGUGGAAGUCCGAAGCGAUUCUGACGUGCAAAUCGAUCGUCUGACUUGGGUAUAGGGGCGAAAGACUAAUCGAACCAUCUAGUAGCUGGUUCCCUCCGAAGUUUCCCCCAGGAUAGCUGGAGCUCGGAGCAGUUAUACUCGGUAAAGCGAAUGAUUAGAGGACUUGGGGUCGAAAUGACCUUAACCUAUUCUCAAACUCUAAAUGGGUAUGAAGCCAGUGUUGCUUGACUCACUGAACACAGGCGUUGAAUGUUGGAGCUCCAAGUGGGCCAUUUUUGGUAAGCA